UACGGGGGGGGCAAGCGUUGUUCGGAAUUACUGGGCGUAAAGGGCUCGUAGGCGGCCAACUAAGUCAGACGUGAAAUCCCCAGGCUCAACCUGGGAACUGCGUCUGAUACUGGAUGGCUUGAAUCCGGGAGAGGGAUGCAGAAUUCCAGGUGUAGCGGUGAAAUGCGUAGAUAUCUGGAGGUACACCGGUGGCGAAGGCGGUUGCCUGGAGCUUUGCUGACGCUGAGGCGCGAAAGCGUGGGGAGCGAUCCGG
rnacentral:rRNA from 1 species